GAAAAGUUUUAUUUUUUCUUAGGGAAAUAGUAAUAAAAUGAAUAUAUAUGUAAUUUUUAAAUAAAUAAAUAUUUUAAUAGUUAGAAAAUUUGCAGUAUAUAAUUUUAAUAAUUAAAGAAAUUUUGAAUUAGUAAUUUUUUUUAGUAUAAACAAAUUUUGUGCCAGCAGUUGCGGUUAUACAAAAUAUACAUCUAUUUUUUAUAAAUUUUUAAUAUAAUUGAUUAAUUUUUAUUUAUAAGGUUAUAUUAAGUGAAAUUUUAUAAUUUUAUUAUAAUUAAAAAAAUAAAUUGAAUUAAUAAAUUUGAAAUUAAACUAGGAUUAGAUACCCUAUUAUUAAAAAUGUAAAUUUAUAUAAAUUAAAUUAGUAUUUGUUAAGUUCAUGAAAAUUAAAAAAUUUGGCGGUAUAAUAGACUAUUUAGAGGAACCUGUUCUGUAAUUGAUAUUCCACGUUUAAUUAAACUUAUUUUAUUAAUUUGUAUAUCGCCGUAGUUGAAUAUUUUUAAAAAAAUUUAAAUAUUCAUAAUUUUUUUUAUAAAAUAAAUCAGGUCAAGGUGCAGUUUAUAAAUAAGUAGAAAUGGGUUACAAUAAAUUUAUUUAUAUGGAAUAAUAUUUUAAAAAUAUUAUUAAAGUGGAUUUAAAAGUAAUUUUAAUAAAUUAAUUAAAAUGAUUUAGCUCUAUAAUAUGYACAUAUUGCCCGUCGCUCUCAUAAUAUAUUGAGAUAAGUCGUAACAUAGUAGAGGUACUGGAAAGUGUUUCUAGAUUUA
rnacentral:ncRNA from 1 species